rnacentral:rRNA from 1 species
UACGGAGGGUGCAAGCAUUAAUCGGAUUUACUGGGCGUAAAGGGCGCGUAGGCGGAUUGGUAAGUCAAAUGUGAAAUUCCGAAGCUCAACUUCGGAGCUGCAUUUGAAACUGCCAGUCUAUAGAGGGAUGACGGAGAAAAUGGAAUUCCACAUGUAGCGGUGAAAUGCGUAGAUAUGUGGAAGAACACCAGUGGCGAAAGCGGUUUUCUAGUUAUUACCUGACGCUGAGGCGCGAGAGCAUGGGGAGCAAACAGG